CGCAGAAAACCCUCGUAUAAUAAAGGAAACAACUGCUCAUGGAGGUAAAUUCCAGUAGAUGGGUAUUAUUGCUCAGCCUGGCUGCCACAAAUUCUGAAGCUCAGAGAAGUUAAAUGACUGGACCAAAGUCACAUGGAGCCAGGACUCAAACCUGGAUGUCUUUCUGCAGAGGCCAUCUUUCCACCUCCACCAAGAAGUACAAGGGGCCGCUCUCCAUUUUUACACAGAGAGCUUGGUGCUACUCCUACUGCCGUGGGGCCUCUCAUUUCAUACCCAAGUGACCAGAAGCCUUCAGCUGCCCCUGAAACACAGGUUAAGAUAAUCAGACUCCUUCAAUACACAGUACAAGUUCCUGAGACAACAGGAGCAACCCCGCCAGGCACCAGGGUUUCAGAGGGUAGGAACUGUCUUCUUCACUUUGGUACCUUGGGGACCUGGCACUAGAAAGCAUUCAAUAAAUGUUGGUGGAAUGAAUGAAAAUUAAAUGAAGGAAGUGUUUCGCCUGAAGAGAAUUAACACCUAUUUUCUAACAAAGCAACAGCACUUGAACAAAGGGGGUGUUUCUGGAAGAUAAGAGACACCCGGGAGAAGUGCAAUAAUAAAGGUGAGUGUUGCCAAAUGUCAGGGCCAGCAAAACCAGAGGGCUCUUCCUGUGCUUACAACACACACCUCCCCUUCAGGUGACUUGACGAUGAUCCAGUUAAAUUCACAAAAUUUCCAAAUGAGAAAAUAAAACCGUAAAUUGCCCUAGGUUCAAACUGAGCU
rnacentral:lncRNA from 1 species